rnacentral:rRNA from 1 species
CGUAGGGGGCAAGCGUCGUCCGGAAUCAUUGGGCGUAAAGAGCGCGUAGGCGGGUUGGUAAGUCCGCUGGGAAAGCCCGGAGCUCAACUCCGGAGGGUCGGUGGAUACUGCCAGUCUUGAAGGUGCUAGGGGGAGAUGGAAUUACCGGUGUAGCGGUGAAAUGCGUAGAGAUCGGUAGGAACACCAGUGGCGAAGGCGGUCUCCUGGGGCAUUCUUGACGCUGAGGCGCGAAAGCUGGGGGAGCGAACGGG